rnacentral:rRNA from 1 species
GGAAACGGACAGAGCUGGCGUAUCUGGUCUGCAUUCAUCCGUGUGUUCUUGGGCGUUUGGAUUGCCACUCUCCAGACUGGGAUGGUGUUCAUUCUGCUCAGGGGCUCAUGGAGCAUUUGCAGGCGGAGUGCGCUGAGAUGCUCGGGACAGCUGCAUGAGCUUGGCUUUGAGGCCAGCCCUUCGGGGUCUGGUACCCGGGCUGUGGGAGUGCUGUUUGUUCUGGGUGCUGAGUGUGUGCAAUGGCAACGGGUCCGUGUUGGUUUGAGCUGGUGGUUGGUGGCGGUCGCGUGCGACACGUGCCGGCAGUCAGUUCGGUCCUGCUCGGGCUCUCAUUGCAUGUUCUCGGUGUAAAAGCCGGUCAUCUGUCCGACCCGUCUUGAAACACGGACCAAGGAGUUUAGCGUGUGCGCGAGUCAUUGGGAGUUGAAAACCCAAGGGCGUAAUGAAAGUGAAGGUCUCCUUGCGGAGCUGAUGUGUGAUCUCGUGCACCCCGGUGUGCGGGCGCAACAUAGUCCCGUCCCGAUCGCAUGCGAUGGGGCGGAGACAGAGCGUACGCGCUGAGACCCGAAAGAUGGUGAACUAUUCCUGAGCAGGAUGAAGCC